rnacentral:rRNA from 1 species
GGGCUUGACAUCCCACGAACCUGGAAACAGGGUCUCCCACUUCGGUGGGCUGGGUGACAGGUGCUGCAUGGCUGUCGUCAGCCCGUGUCGUGAGAUGUUGGGUUAAGUCCCGCAACGAGCGCAACCCCUGCCUUUAGUUGCCAUCAGUUGGCUGGGCACUCUAAAGGGACUGCCGGUGUUAAACCGAGGAAGGUGGGGACGACGUCAAGUCCUCAUGGCCUUUAUGUCCAGGGCUACACACGUGCUACAAUGGGCGGCACAAAGGGCAGCGACACCGCGAGGUGAAGCCAAUCCCAAAAAACCGUUCUCAGUUCGGAUCGGAGUCUGCAACUCGACUCCGUGAAGUUGGAAUUGCUAGUAAUCGUGGAUCAGCAUGCCACGGUGAAUACGUUCCCGGGCCUUGUACACACCGCCCGUCACACCACGAAAGUCUACUGUACUCGAAGUCGCUGAG